GAUGAAGAACGUAGCGAAAUGCGAUAAGUAAUGUGAAUUGCAGAAUUCAGUGAAUCAUCGAAUCUUUGAACGCACAUUGCGCCCGCCAGUAUUCUGGCGGGCAUGCCUGUCUGAGCGUCAUUUCAACCCUCAUGCCCCUAGGGCGUGGUGUUGGGGAUCGGCCAAAGCCCGCGAGGGACGGCCGGCCCCUAAAUCUAGUGGCGGACCCGUCGUGGCCUCCUCUGCGAAGUAGUGAUAUUCCGCAUCGGAGAGCGAUGAGCCCCUGCCGUUAAACCCCCAACUUUACAAGGUUGACCUCAGAUCAGGUAGGAAUACCCGCUGAACUUAAGCAUAUCAAUAAGCGGAGGA
rnacentral:misc_RNA from 1 species